rnacentral:rRNA from 2 species
CGAACUCUGGUAUUGAUUGGUGCUUGCAUCAUGAUUUACAUUUGAGUGAGUGGCGAACUGGUGAGUAACACGUGGGAAACCUGCCCAGAAGCGGGGGAUAACACCUGGAAACAGAUGCUAAUACCGCAUAACAACUUGGACCGCAUGGUCCGAGUUUGAAAGAUGGCUUCGGCUAUCACUUUUGGAUGGUCCCGCGGCGUAUUAGCUAGAUGGUGGGGUAACGGCUCACCAUGGCAAUGAUACGUAGCCGACCUGAGAGGGUAAUCGGCCACAUUGGGACUGAGACACGGCCCAAACUCCUACGGGAGGCAGCAGUAGGGAAUCUUCCACAAUGGACGAAAGUCUGAUGGAGCAACGCCGCGUGAGUGAAGAAGGGUUUCGGCUCGUAAAACUCUGUUGUUAAAGAAGAACAUAUCUGAGAGUAACUGUUCAGGUAUUGACGGUAUUUAACCAGAAAGCCACGGCUAACUACGUGCCAGCAGCCGCGGUAAUACGUAGGUGGCAAGCGUUGUCCGGAUUUAUUGGGCGUAAAGCGAGCGCAGGCGGUUUUUUAAGUCUGAUGUGAAAGCCUUCGGCUCAACCGAAGAAGUGCAUCGGAAACUGGGAAACUUGAGUGCAGAAGAGGACAGUGGAACUCCAUGUGUAGCGGUGAAAUGCGUAGAUAUAUGGAAGACACCAGUGGCGAACGCGGCUGUCUGGUCUGUAACUGACGCUGAGGCUCGAAAGUAUGGGUAGCAAACAGGAUUAGAUACCC